GGAUUAGCGGCGGACGGGUGAGUAACACGUGAGUAACCUGCCUUAGACAUUGGGAUAGCCUCGGGAAACCGGGAUUAAUACCAAAUGAAAUCACAUAUGCACAUGCAUAAAUGAUCAAAGCUCCGGCGGUCUAAGAUGGACUCGCGUCCCAUUAGCUAGUUGGUGAGGUAACGGCCCACCAAGGCGACGAUGGGUAGCCGGCCUGAGAGGGUGAACGGCCACAUUGGAACUGAGAAACGGUCCAAACUCCUACGGGAGGCAGCAGUGGGGAAUAUUGCACAAUGGAGGGAACUCUGAUGCAGCGACGCCGCGUGAACGAAGAAGGCUUUCGAGUCGUAAAGUUCUUUUAUAUGGGAAGAUAAUGACGGUACCAUAAGAAAAAGCCCCGGCUAACUACGUGCCAGCAGCCGCGGUAAUACGUAGGGGGCUAGCGUUGUCCGGAAUCACUGGGCGUAAAGGGUUCGCAGGCGGAAAUGCAAGUCAGGUGUAAAAGGCAGUAGCUUAACUACUGUAAGCAUUUGAAACUGCAUAUCUUGAGAAGAGUAGAGGUAAGUGGAAUUUUUAGUGUAGCGGUGAAAUGCGUAGAUAUUAAAAAGAAUACCGGUGGCGAAGGCGACUUACUGGGCUCAUUCUGACGCUGAGGAACGAAAGCGUGGGUAGCAAACAGGAUUAGAUACCCUGGUAGUCCACGCUGUAAACGAUGAGUGCUAGGUAUCGGAAUAAUUCGGUGCCGCAGUUAACACAUUAAGCACUCCGCCUGGGGAGUACGUGCGCAAGCAUG
rnacentral:rRNA from 1 species